CAGUCGGAAGAAGUGUUCACGCAUUGCUUCAAGAUCCCAGAAUCGAGCCUGAAUAAAAUCUUUUUUUCCUACUGCUGCCUUAAUUAUCUAUUGACUAUAGGAAGCAUGGGAAAACGAGAAAAGCAAAUAAGAACACUCAUAUACUGGAAAAAUAUUCAGAGGUGACUUCAUUUGAUAACGGAACAACUUAUUACACUUGGGUUUUGGCAAUGGCCAGUUACUUCUAACAGCAAAACUUCACUUUGAAG
rnacentral:misc_RNA from 1 species